GCACUGACUGCUAUCGGAUUGAUACUAAGCCAUGCGAGUCAUUGUAGUAAUACAAGGCAGACGGCUCAGUAACGCGUAGUCAACCUACCCUAUGGACGGGAAUAACCUCGGGAAACUGAGUAUAAUGCCCGAUAGAACACUAUACCUGGAAUGGUUUGUGUUCCAAAUGAUUUAUCGCCGUAGGAUGGGACUGCGGCCUAUCAGUUUGUUGGUGAGGUAAUGGCCCACCAAGACUAUUACAGGUACGGGCUCUGAGAGGAGUAGCCCGGAGAUGGGUACUGAGACACGGACCCAGGCCCUAUGGGGCGCAGCAGGCGAGAAAACUUCGCAAUGUGCGAAAGCACGACAAGGUUAAUCCGAGUGGUUUGUGCUAAACGAACCUUUUGACAGUCCUAGAAACACUGUUGAAUAAGGGGUGGGCAAGUUCUGGUGUCAGCCGCCGCGGUAAAACCAGCACCUCAAGUGGUCAGGAUGAUUAUUGGGCCUAAAGCAUCCGUAGCCGGCUCUGUAAGUUUUCGGUUAAAUCUGUAUGCUCAACAUACAGGCUGCCGGGAAUACUGCAGAGCUAGGGAGUGGGAGAGGUAGACGGUACUCGGUAGGAAGGGGUAAAAUCCUUUUGAUCUAUUGAUGACCCACCUGUGGCGAAGGCGGUCUACCAGAACACGUCCGACGGUGAGGGAUGAAAGCUGGGGGGAGCAAACCGGAUUAGAUACCCCGGGGUAGUCCCAGCUGUAAACUAUGCAAACUCAGUGAUGCAUUGGCUUGUGGCCAAUGCAGUGCUGCAGGGAAGCCGUUAAGUUUGCCGCCUGGGGAAGUACGUACGCAAGUAUGAAACUUAAAGGAAUUGGCGGGGGGAGCAC
rnacentral:rRNA from 1 species